CCUACGGGGGCGCAGACGGCGAUGCAAGCCAGGAGUGAAAGCCCGGGGCCCAACCCCGGGACUGCUCUUGGAACUGCGUGGCUAGAGUGCAGGAGGGGCAGGCGGAAUUCCUGGUGUAGCGGUGAAAUGCGUAGAUAUCAGGAGGAACACCGGUGGCGAAGGCGGCCUGCUGGACUGCAACUGACGUUGAGGCCCGAAAGCGUGGGGAGCAAACAGGAUUAGAUACCCUUGUAGUCCGCCAA
rnacentral:rRNA from 1 species